rnacentral:tRNA from 1 species
GGAAGCGUGGCCGAGUGGUUGAAGGCACCGGUCUUGAAAACCGGCAACCCGCAAGGGUUCGCGAGUUCGAAUCUCGCCGCUUCCGCCA